GAGAAUGAAGCCUUCAGCAUCAAAUACUACACGAGUCAUCAUGAAUGGUCUUCAAGGAGCAAACGUCUUUGUGUGGGUCACCGCCACUAUAGCAGUGCUCAUCAUGGUUCCCAAUGAAGCUGCUGCGCUUGGAGGCAUGGUGUGAGGAAUUUCAGAGAAUUGGCUUUCGAAAGAAGUGAAGCACUUCUUCAGCAAGACCGUAUCAUGCAUCUAGUGACAAGCUCACGAACCCCUCUUUGAUUGCAAUAAAAUGUCGAAAUCGAGACUUUAGCCUCUUGUCCUCUUACAGGGUAAUGAAAGGCGCAGAUUCUUCGAGGAUCUUUGUACAAAUACAUGAAGCUCACACAAUUUAAAGUGGCUAGAAAUAUUACACUGGAGUGAGUAUGCCA